AGAGGAAGUAAAAGUCGUAACAAGGUCUCCGUAGGUGAACCUGCGGAGGGAUCAUUACACAAAUAUGAAGGCGGGCUGGAACCUCUCGGGGUUACAGCCUUGCUGAAUUAUUCACCCUUGUCUUUUGCGUACUUCUUGUUUCCUUGGUGGGUUCGCCCACCACUAGGACAAACAUAAACCUUUUGUAAUUGCAAUCAGCGUCAGUAACAAAUUAAUAAUUACAACUUUCAACAACGGAUCUCUUGGUUCUGGCAUCGAUGAAGAACGCAGCGAAAUGCGAUAAGUAGUGUGAAUUGCAGAAUUCAGUGAAUCAUCGAAUCUUUGAACGCACAUUGCGCCCUUUGGUAUUCCAAAGGGCAUGCCUGUUCGAGCGUCAUUUGUACCCUCAAGCUUUGCUUGGUGUUGGGCGUCUUGUCUCUAGCUUUGCUGGAGACUCGCCUUAAAGUAAUUGGCAGCCGGCCUACUGGUUUCGGAGCGCAGCACAAGUCGCACUCUCUAUCAGCAAAGGUCUAGCAUCCAUUAAGCCUUUUUUUCAACUUUUGACCUCGGAUCAGGUAGGGAUACCCGCUGAACUUAAGCAUAUCAAUAAGCGGAGGAAAU
rnacentral:rRNA from 1 species